CAUUAGUGAAUAUAGGACGUCCAACUUAACUUGGAGUCCGAACUCUCACUUUCUAACCCUGUGCACUUGUUUGGGAUAGUAACUCUCGCAAGAGAGCGAACUCCUAUUCACUUAUAAACACAAAGUCUAUGAAUGUAUUAAAUUUUAUAACAAAAUAAAACUUUCAACAACGGAUCUCUUGGCUCUCGCAUCGAUGAAGAACGCAGCGAAAUGCGAUAAGUAAUGUGAAUUGCAGAAUUCAGUGAAUCAUCGAAUCUUUGAACGCACCUUGCGCUCCAUGGUAUUCCGUGGAGCAUGCCUGUUUGAGUGUCAUGAAUACUUCAACCCUCCUCUUUCUUAAUGAUUGAAGAGGUGUUUGGUUUCUGAGCGCUGCUGGCCUUUACGGUCUAGCUCGUUCGUAAUGCAUUAGCAUCCGCAAUCGAACUUCGGAUUGACUUGGCGUAAUAGACUAUUCGCUGAGGAAUUCUAGUCUUCGGAUUAGAGCCGGGUUGGGUUAAAGGAAGCUUCUAAUCAGAAUGUCUACAUUUUAAGAUUAGAUCUCAAAUCAGGUAGGACUACCCGCUGAACUUAAGCAUAUCAAUAAGCGGAGGAAAAGAAACUAACAAGGAUUCCCCUAGUAGCGGCGAGCGAAGCGGGAAGAGCUCAAAUUUAUAAUCUGGCACCUUCGGUGUCCGAGUUGUAAUCUCUAGAAAUGUUUUCCGCGUUGGACCGCACACAAGUCUGUUGGAAUACAGCGGCAUAGUGGUGAGACCCCCGUAUAUGGUGCGGACGCCCAGCGCUUUGUGAUACAUUUUCGAAGAGUCGAGUUGUUUGGGAAUGCAGCUCAAAUUGGGUGGUAAAUUCCAUCUAAAGCUAAAUAUUGGCGAGAGACCGAUAGCGAACAAGUACCGUGAGGGAAAGAUGAAAAGCACUUUGGAAAGAGAGUUAACAGUACGUGAAAUUGUUGGAAGGGAAACGCUUGAAGUCAGACUUGCUUGCCGAGCAAUCGGUUUGCAGGCCAGCAUCAGUUUUCCGGGAUGGAUAAUGGUAGAGAGAAGGUAGCAGUUUCGGCUGUGUUAUAGCUCUCUGCUGGAUACAUCUUGGGGGACUGAGGAACGCAGUGUGCCUUUGGCGGGGGUUUCGACCUCUCACACU
rnacentral:rRNA from 1 species